GCAGCUUCAUAAAAUACUCGUACGUAAGUAUUCACCCCAUGUAAGUGACGUGAGACCGGCUGAUAUUUAGUAUGGUGUGGUAUGAUGUCUUAUCAUCCGAUCAAUAAAAGAUAAAUUAUAAUUUAGUAUCUUCACCGAUUGAUCUCGUUACUUUACAUACAUAGGUUUCGCUCAAGCUUGAGAUUACCAGUGAGAUUCCGGAAUCUGAAUUAUACCUGCAAGGUAAAUUUUACUAUUAAGCUAGAUUUAUGUAUGUAGAUAGACGAAUAGAUAAAUCAAUCUAGCUACAGCUACGCCCGCCGCUCGAUGCUCUUAUUAGAUUUUGUGUACGAGACGAUAAAAGCUAUGUCAUUCAUGUAACUUCUUAAUAAACUAGGCCUCAAGCUAAGACUUGAA